UGUAGCUCAAUGGUAAAGCACAUACCUAUCAUAUGUGAGGACCUGGGUUCAAAUUCCAGCA
rnacentral:tRNA from 1 species